AGUGAACGCUGGCGGCAGGCCUAACACAUGCAAGUCGAACGAACUCUUCGGAGUUAGUGGCGGACGGGUGUGUAACACGUGGGAACGUGCACUUAGGUUUGGACUAACUCAGGGAAACUUGUGAUAAUACCGAAUGUGCCCUUCGGGGGAAAGAUUUAUCGCCUUUGGAGCGGCCCGCGUCUGAUUAGCUAGUUGGUGAGGUAAAGGCUCACCAAGGCGACGAUCAGUAGCUGGUCUGAGAGGAUGAUCAGCCACAUUGGGACUGAGACACGGCCCAAACUCCUACGGGAUGGAGGAGUGGGGAAUCUUGCGCAAUGGGCGAAGGCCUGACGCAGCCAUGCCGCGUAAAUGAUGAAGGUCUUAGGAUAGUAAAAUUCUUUCACCGGGGACGAUAAUGACGGUACCCGGAGAAGAAGCCCCGGCUAACUUCGUG
rnacentral:rRNA from 1 species